rnacentral:rRNA from 1 species
AUUGAACGCUGGCGGCAUGCUUUACACAUGCAAGUCGAACGGUAACAGGCCUUCGGGUGCUGACGAGUGGCGAACGGGUGAGUAAUGCAUCGGAACGUGCCCAAUCGUGGGGGAUAACGUAGCGAAAGUUACGCUAAUACCGCAUAAGCCCUGAGGGGGAAAGCAGGGGAUCGCAAGACCUUGCGCGAAUGGAGCGGCCGAUGUCAGAUUAGCUAGUUGGUGGGGUAAAGGCCUACCAAGGCGACGAUCUGUAGCGGGUCUGAGAGGAUGAUCCGCCACACUGGGACUGAGACACGGCCCAGACUCCUACGGGAGGCAGCAGUGGGGAAUUUUGGACAAUGGGCGCAAGCCUGAUCCAGCCAUGCCGCGUGCGGGACGAAGGCCUCGGUUGUAAACCGCUUUCAGCCGGAAAGAAGUCGCCAACGGCUAAUAUCCUUGGUGGAGUGACGGUACCGGAAGAAGAAGCACCGGCUAACUACGUGCCAGCAGCCGCGGU